GGGGUUGUGGCUCAGUGGAAGAGCAUCUGCUUGGCAUGUAGAAGGUCUGAGGUUCAAACCCUGGCAUCUCCA
rnacentral:tRNA from 1 species